rnacentral:rRNA from 1 species
GACCGCCUGGGGAGUACGGCCGCAAGGUUAAAACUCAAAUGAAUUGACGGGGGCCCGCACAAGCGGUGGAGCAUGUGGUUUAAUUCGAUGCAACGCGAAGAACCUUACCUGGUCUUGACAUACACAGAAUCUUGUAGAGAUACGAGAGUGCCUUCGGGAAUUGUGAUACAGGUGCUGCAUGGCUGUCGUCAGCUCGUGUCGUGAGAUGUUGGGUUAAGUCCCGCAACGAGCGCAACCCUUGUCCUUAGUUACCAGCGGGUUAAGCCGGGAACUCUAAGGAUACUGCCAGUGACAAACUGGAGGAAGGCGGGGACGACGUCAAGUCAUCAUGGCCCUUACGACCAGGGCUACACACGUGCUACAAUGGUAGGUACAGAGGGCAGCUACACAGCGAUGUGAUGCGAAUCUCAAAAAGCCUAUCGUAGUCCAGAUUGGAGUCUGCAACUCGACUCCAUGAAGUAGGAAUCGCUAGUAAUCGCGGAUCAGAAUGCCGCGGUGAAUACGUUCCCGGGCCUUGUACA